CCCCUCUGUCAUUGAUAUCUUAUUUGAGGAUGAUGCGGGUCCCUUCCAUCAUCUCGGAGUCCUUAUUUGCCACUUGCCCUUUGAUAACCCCUGGGUAAGUCAUAUUAAUAGAUAGCGACUCACAGCCCAACACAGAGAUACAGCCUCUAGAAACCAUUUAAGAGGGAAGAUAGCCAUGCCCUGAUUCCGGGUGGUGCAGAUCACCUAAUCAGCAUGGCUGCCUCGCGGUGGUGAUGCUUGUGGGUCUACUAUUUGCCAGUCCCCUUGUUCAGAAGAUUUAUUUAAGCCUCUCCGACCUCUACGAAGUGGAUGUUCUCUAUUUUGCAGAUGAGGAAACGGAAACUCAGAGGUGUGAGUUGACUUGCCUCGGGCCCCAGUUGGCAGAGACAAGACUGGAAGGGAAGUCUGACGCGAUCCCAUCCAGGACGCCAAGGACUUGGGGCUAUCUAUAGUCGUAGGCACACUAUGUUGCUGGUGCUUUUUAAAUGGGAAAUGUCGGGAGAGGUAUGCCUUCUGAAUGUUCAAUAACAAGUGAGUUGGGUGACUAAGUUGGGUGACUAAGCCUAUUGCAGAGUCUGAACAUGAGAUGAAAUCUGCAUGUGGGUAACAGUGGGACUGAAGAGGAAGCAACUGGCACUUUCAAGUGUUGAGUCAAGAUGUCCUAUAAGCAAGAUUUGGAGCACAGUGAAAGAGAUAUCUUCCAAAGGAACAGAGUAGAGAUUGUUCCUGAAGGGUUUGAACAGCAUAAGCCUGAGGCAGAAAACAUAUGCUAUUGAAAAAUGGAUGUCUUUCUUUUGGAACUAAUGCUAGUGUUGGAUUUAUUCCCUCUUAUAAUUUACCUACCACCUGAAGGGAAAUUAGCUUUUAUGAUGGUCGGAGGGGCACCUAGCUGUCUCAGCCUGUAGAGCAUGUGACUCUAAAUCUCAGGGUCGUGAGUUCAAGCCUCACAUUGGGCAUGGAGCCUACUAAAAAAAAAAAAAAAAAAAAAAAAAAAAAAAAAAAAAAAAAGAAAGAAAUCCUAUGGUGGUUGGAGUCUUUCUGUUGAUCCAGUGGUGGAAUCAGAUAGCCAGUCAGAUAGAGGGAACAAAGCUUACAGUGCACUGCUGGAUUUCAUUGCGCCCAGCUUUGAAUCACUGAAGCACGUAACUCUAAAAAUAACUUAAUACGUUUGAUGCAUUUGUUUAUUGCUCUUUAUCUUCUGGAAUGCUAAAUAAAUCAUAGGGACUCAUUUUCAGUGUUGAACGUAACUUAUGUUUUUUACCUUGUGGUCUUGGCCUGGCUGUUUAAAUUGGACCAAUUUCAUUAUUGACUUUCUUCCCUUCACUAUACAUUGUUCCAUUAAUUUCCCUACAGUCGUUUUUCUUGAUGUCCUGCCUUUCUAAGCUUUGUUGGGGUGGGGAAGGGUAAAUGAGUUGCUGAAAUAUCAAAUGCCGACUGCUCCUGAGCGGUUUGGGUUUGUGGUUUAACCAGUCUGUUAGCAACUUGAUUCUUUCAUUACUAGAUCAAUAUUUUCUUCAUUUUUUUUUCCCUCCUAGGAUGUAGGUAUUGGAAUUGUGCUUUGGAUCUAGAUUAUGUCCAAUGUCUAUAUGAAGUUGUACUAAGGAACCAUGUAUACAUUUGUAUAUGCAUUCACUUCAUAAAUAUUUUGAACAAUGAA